GUUUUUUCACUACUGUCAUUUCCUGCAGGCCACUUAUGUGAAGAGUCAUUAUAUAUUCUCUUGUAAUGAUUAUAUACGGCGACAGAUAGAACCUUUUUAGCUCUCUCCUGUCCAAUUACAAACUUAUCAAGUCCUCUACACAGUUGCUUUGGUGUGGGAAAUUGGGUACCCAAAUUGGAUCCACCCCAAGACCCAUCUUUUGACCCGGAACCAAACCCACCUCCAGAACCCGAACCCGAACCAGGAACUUCCCCUUCACCCACCUGAACAAAUUUCACACCAGGACGAACCACAAUCCCCUCACCAGGUGGUUGCCAAAUCUCAGGAGGUUCCCCAUAGUUACUAGACAUAUUAAUUUUCUCCUUACUCUUCCUACUUGAAUUCUUCAAAUUAUCAUAACAUCGGUCAACAAAUUCACCACGAAACGAUACAGGUUUGAAUAAAGAAGAACUAUGACCAGAAUUUGAGACCAAAUUAUCCCAUUUGGUUCGACUACACAAAUGGAAAUUGGGUAAAUGACCCGUGUGAAAAUCAUUGAUGAUAAAGUAUCUGAAGUGGGUAAUAGCCAUAGAAGCCGUACGUCUAGACGAUUUCGAUCUAAGUACAGCUGCCAUAUCGGCUUAGUUCAGUGGAAACUCAACGCCCCAACAAAGAAAAACAAGAAAACGAAGUAAAGAUUCUUUCUUUUUAUAUGUAUGAACAAGAUAGAGAUGAUUAUGUAAUGAAAAGGGAUGUGGGUAUGAGUAACAAUUUCAAGAUUUGAUGUUUGUCGGAAGAGAGGAGACUUUUGUGGGGUUUAAGAGAUGACCCAUCAGACAAAGAAAACUGAAAAAUUGAGAAAAUUCUUGUUUAUAGAGAGGAUUUUG
rnacentral:misc_RNA from 1 species